UUAGUUGAAGCCAAACGUAGAGGCUUCUUAUUGUUAAUAAGAAAAAUGAUUUAUAUCCAACUAAA
rnacentral:tRNA from 1 species